UGGGGAAUAUUGCACAAUGGACGCAAGCCUGAUGCAGCCAUGCCGCGUGUGUGAAGAAGGCCUUCGGGUUGUAAAGCACUUUCAGCGAGGAGGAAGGUGGUGAGCUUAAUACGCUCAUCAAUUGACGUUACUCGCAGAAGAAGCACCGGCUAACUCCGUGCCAGCAGCCGCGGUAAUACGGAGGGUGCAAGCGUUAAUCGGAAUUACUGGGCGUAAAGAGCACGCAGGCGGUUUGUUAAGUCAGAUGUGAAAUCCCCGGGCUCAACCUGGGAACUGCAUUUGAAACUGGCAAGCUAGAGUCUCGUAGAGGGGGGUAGAAUUCCAGGUGUAGCGGUGAAAUGCGUAGAGAUCUGGAGGAAUACCGGUGGCGAAGGCGGCCCCCCUGGACGAAGACUGACGCUCAGGUGCGAAAAGCGUGGGGCAGCAAACAGGAUUAGAUACCCUGGUAGUCCACGCUGUAAACGAUGUCGAUUUGGAGGUUGUGCCCUUGAGGCGUGGCUUCCGGAGCUAACGCGUUAAAUCGACCGCCUGGGGAGUACGGCCGCAAGGUUAAAACUUAAAGGAAUUGA
rnacentral:rRNA from 1 species